rnacentral:rRNA from 1 species
AUUGAACGCUGGCGGCAGGCCUAACACAUGCAAGUCGAACGAGUGGCGGACGGGAGAGUAAUGUCUGGGAAACUGCCCGAGGGAGGGGGAUAACUAAUGGAAACGGUAGCUGAUACCGCAUACCAUCGGAUGUGCCCGGAUGGGAUUAGCUAGUAGGUGGGGUAACGGCCUACCUAGGCGACGAUCCCUAGCUGGUCUGAGAGGAUGACCAGCCACACUGGAACUGAGACACGGUCCAGACUCCUACGGGAGGCAGCAGUGGGGAAUAUUGCACAAUGGGCGCAAGCCUGAUGCAGCCAUGCCGCGUGUAUGAAGAAGGUCUUCGGUUUGUAAAGUACUUUCAGCGAGGAGGCGUUACUCGCAGAAGAAGCACCGGCUAACUCCGUGCCAGCAGCCGCGGUAAUUC